rnacentral:piRNA from 1 species
AUGUGCUUGGCUGAGGA